rfam:Rattus norvegicus chromosome 10, whole genome shotgun sequence.
GGGGAUUUAGCUCAGUGGUAGAGCACUUGCCUAGCAUGCACAAGGCCCUGGGUUCGGUCCCCAGCUCUG